AGCACCAGCACUGGCAGCACCAGCAGCGGCGGCACCAGCAGUACCGGCAGCAGCGGCACCAGCACCAGUCGUCUCAGGCUUCGCCACCGCCGGCGCGCAGCGGCUCCGCGGCUCGGUGCCGGCAGUGCAGAGCAACUUUCUUCAAGUGCAGAGGACAGGAGGAGAAGAGCCUUAAGCAGACUGUGGAACCAGGGUACCUGUCCUACCCAUGACAGCCAGGCUUCUGUACCUACCCACCAUACCACAAAGUGAAAGGAGAAGGUGGCAGACUGCUCUGGCAUUGAUCAUCGGUCCUUGAGAUGCUGUUGGCGGGGAACAGAGCAAUAAGGUAUAACUGAAGCUGGCAGGUAUGUGCAAUUGCAAAGAUCUUUUGUUUUUUAUACAUGUCCUGUUUAUUCCAGCAAAUGCCAAACAAGCCUACGUAUGUCAGUGCCAUUUAAUGCUUCACUGUUGUUGUUUAAAGUAUAAUGAAUCAUGUGGGCUUAGGGUAAGAACUGACAAAGAUUGCGUGGUGUGGUGUGGGUGCUACCUAUUUUUUUUUAAUUUGUGUGGCACUCUCAGCCUUCCCUGUGGACACUGGGUGGUUUUGUGCCCUACUGCAGAGUGUCCCUGGUUGGCAUGCAAAGAUAUUCUUCUUGACACAGGCAGCCUGGCAGCUGGAGAGCUCUGGGAAGAAGACAGCUUCUGGUGGGCUAUGGUGCUCCAGGGCUUCUCUCUGGUCAACCACAACCCCUCCCUUGAGGCUGAACAUUGGUGAGUCUCUGAAAGCAUGUUAUGUCCCUAGAGUCCAUUGCAGCAGGGAAAAAAAGAUACUUCUUGGCAGAUUUACUAUAUACCAUCUGAAGUCUCCACUUGGCUUUUGACCAUGCUUCGUGCUUGCUAUGGCCACAGAGCCGCCACCACCACUAGCCCUCCAAGGCUGAGCUGAAUUAUUUUCUGACUUGCAUAUCGCCAAGAGGUGCAUCAGCUACAAGAGAUUCCAGCUGCAGAAUGUGUGUGUGCGGCAUGUCUUGUUCAGAUGUUAUUUCCUUAAUAAAAUUGCUCAUUUGGCGUGAAGA